rnacentral:rRNA from 1 species
GAUGAACGCUGGCGGCGUGCCUAAUACAUGCAAGUCGAGCGAACGGACGAGAAGCUUGCUUCUCUGAUGUUAGCGGCGGACGGGUGAGUAACACGUGGAUAACCUACCUAUAAGACUGGGAUAACUUCGGGAAACCGGAGCUAAUACCGGAUAAUAUUUUGAACCGCAUGGUUCAAAAGUGAAAGACGGUCUUGCUGUCACUUAUAGAUGGAUCCGCGCUGCAUUAGCUAGUUGGUAAGGUAACGGCUUACCAAGGCAACGAUGCAUAGCCGACCUGAGAGGGUGAUCGGCCACACUGGAACUGAGACACGGUCCAGACUCCUACGGGAGGCAGCAGUAGGGAAUCUUCCGCAAUGGGCGAAAGCCUGACGGAGCAACGCCGCGUGAGUGAUGAAGGUCUUCGGAUCGUAAAGCUCUGUUAUUGGGGAAGAACAUAUGUGUAAGUAACUGUGCACAUCUUGACGGUACCUAAUCAGAAAGCCACGGCUAACUACGUG